rnacentral:rRNA from 1 species
CUCGCAAGAGUGAACUAGCUAACUGAAAUCCUUGGUGUGUCAUCGAGGAUAACGUAAGGGAAAAGAUCAUAACCACGGGAGCCUUCCCCUCCUCUUUAGAUCGAAAGGUUUAGAGGGUAGAUGUUGGUGUGGUUUAUGAGGUGAUAUUACCUUACUAUUAGUGUCGUCCAAGUGCUCGUGCCAGAAGACUCGGUAAGGCGAGAGACGCAAACGUUAUUCGUCUUGAACAGGCGUAAAGGGUAAGUAGGCGGCUUUAAGCAUCUAAUUUUAAGUUUUACUGUUUUAAUGCUAAAUUAUAUACCUACUCUAGAAGUUAGGAUAGGUUUUCUUUUCAAUGAUAAAGAAUCAUACCACUCCACUCCCAACCACUCCUUCGUAAGAAAGAUGUAAUGGGUUGUGGUUUGGUUAUGAAAAUAACCUAUUAAUUUAGUAUUUUAAUAUUUAUUAAAGGAUCAAUUAAAGCUAGAAUCUAAAAGAGGUUAAAACAAUACUUAAGGUAGGUGUACCAACCAUAAAUAAUAAGCAGAGUAUUAAGGGCGAAGGCAUUUAUCCACUGAAGAUUGACGCUGAGGAACGAAGGUGAGGACAGAAAAAAGGAUUAGAGACCCUUGUAUCCCUCACUGUCAACGAUGAAUGGUAGUUACUAGAUAGAAAUAAUCUAGAGGCGAUGUUAACACGAAAACCAUUCCGCCUUGUGAGUACGACUGCAAAGUUGAAAACAAAAAAAUUAGUCGGUUUCGGAGCAAACGAAGUGAAGCAU